rnacentral:lncRNA from 1 species
AUUUGAUUUAGGCUGCAAAGAUCCUUGCCAAUUUAAUCGUGAUGGGUGUUGGGAUAUUGUCUAGGCUGCUUUAUCAUUGGGGUUUUCUAAUAACUAAUUUUUUUUUCACUUUUUUGUGGAUGCAUGGAACUAUAUAUAUAGAUAAUUCUCAAAUUCGUUCACUGUGAUACAAAGUCUUUUUUUUUUCAAUUUCAUUGGUUAAAUUCACUAAUUCAUUGAAAUUAGUGGUGAUUGUGGGCCGAGUCGCAUGUGCAGGAAGUGGUGUCAGGUCUGGGCACACAUUGAGUCAUGCACUUGGUGGGCAAUUGGUAUUGUUUCUAUUGUGUGUGUUGGAAAUAAUGUCAAUAUCAUCCAACCAAUGUGUGUUUCCAGUGGUUGUUUUUGCACCGAGCAGAGAAUUUAUUAUUACAUCAGAGUUCCCCAUCCCUUGUUUCUCUUUUGGGUAAUGCAGGUAUUGACUAGUUCAUUUCCAUUUUCAUUUGUCUUGAGGGAAUGUUAUCAAUUUUUCGAUCUUACAAGAUAUUGAUUGAUACAUAUGUGUCCAAUACAUUAAAAAUCGUUAAACAUUUUGCUCUUAGUUACAAUUUUGAACGAAUGUCACAUGGAAAGAUCCUCUAAGAAUAUCAAUAGUAUUGUGGUUUCUACUCAAUUUCCACUCUCCGCACUCAUAUGAGCAUGGUUUGAAUCUCAGGCCUUUUGUACCAUUCAAAAAUUUAUACCAAUUAACAACAUAGCUUGCUAGCACCACAAUUGUUUCAACUCCAAGGCAGAGAAUUCCUAGAAGAUAUAUACAUAUUGAUAUAUACUUGCAUGUAGUUGUAUGCUCACUACCUUCGAAUUGGGGAUAUAGUCACUAUUUUUGUAUUCCCUCCAAGUGUUUGAUAAAAAGCAUGAAUGAAUCUUGGCUCUUUAAUUGUUGCAGGCCAUUUCUACCUAUGAGGAGCGAAGGAAUAUGAAGCUUAUUAUAUUCAUUCACAAAGCAAAGCUGAUACAAUUCAUGGCAAAGCUUGAUGAGGUGUUGUAUUUAAUAUUGCUCAUGAGAUCAAUUACAUAUCUUGUUGGACUUUAUUCUUGUAAUUAAGGUCCAUCCAAAGUUGAUGGCUUGUUUGUCAGAAAGAUAAUCUGAAGGCCAUGAUUGAUUACUUGCGGGCCGAUGGAAAUGUCUCCAUGAUUGGUUUAUGAGGUUGUUAAGUUACUAAAUAGGUAUAUUUACUUUUCAUGAGCUUUAUCUUCGUUUUUCCAUUAUGGAAAUGUCUCUAUGAUUGUAACUUUUAACACGUGGAACUCUUGAACCCUAUGUUUAGUUAUAUACUUAUAUUGGGACUUGUAUAAAUUAAUAUGAUGGUUUUAUUAUUAUUAUUAUUAGUAGUAGUAGUAGUAGUAGUAGUAGUAGUAGUAGUAGUAGUAGUAGCAGCUACAAAAGAUCAAAAGAACUUAAAGGUGUGGCUUGUGGCUUUCUUGUUGUUUGGGCUUUAAGUGCUGCCUCACUUGUCAUUGUUGCUAAUCUGGUGCGCCACGUCCAUUUCAGUGUAAUUACAUAAGUUAGUUUGCUUGAUUAAUUAAUUAAUUAGUUAGUGGAUUGAAUAGCCAGAGUACUACAUUUUGCAUAGGUCUGAUGCUGGAUGAAUUUUCAUGUCUUGGCUUUGGGGUUGCUGGAUUUUGCUGCUGGAAGACUACAUUUUGCAAUUUUGUUGCUGGAAGACUACAUAUUGUGUAGGUUUGUUGCUGGAUGUUGCUGAAUGCGGAGUACUUUGCUUGGUUUUGGAUUGGCCUUUGUUGUCUAUUGGCUUGACUUUGGAAUAUGGAUUAACUAAUGUAAUGUACUUUGGAUAUUUUUAUGGUUAAUAAAGUUCACUAAUUUAGUUCAUUGGUUUUGGAUUUAAUUGCAUUUAGUAAUUUAUUUUCUUUC